rnacentral:lncRNA from 1 species
UCGGAAUGGCGCCAGACUUUGCGAGGCACCUGCGUGUGCUAAAAAUAGGCCACGGGCACAGCCGAGCCCAAAAGUAACUGCCCGAAGGCCGGGGAGACAAGUUCGUCCAGCGGAAAAAGGCCACUCAAACGGGUGGGUUAUUGCCUUGGGGGGUGCGGCUGGCCAACUUCGUCCGCCGCACUCGGAAUGGCGCGAGAAUUUGCAAGGUGCCUCCAUGUGCCAAAAAUAGGCCGCGGGCACAGCCGUACCCAAAAAUAACCACCCGAAGGCAGGGGCGCCAAGUUCGUCCAACGGAAAAUGGUCACAAAAACGGGUCGGCUAUAGCCUUGG